rnacentral:lncRNA from 1 species
CAUCCAUAGAGAUUGUAUGGUAAGUGAGCCUUGCUGUAGUUUGAUUUGAUUUCGUUAUGACAGUUCAUGACCAUGCUGAUUACCAGAAGGUUUCUUGAUGGCUCGGAGAUGCUGUAAGACGAAGGCCUCGACAUGGCCCCGGAGGCGAUGAGCGAUGAUGUGGCAAGGGUGAGCAGCGUGGCGACGAUGACGGUUGCCACGAAUGUUACAGUGACGAUGGUGGCGAUGAUUGAUGAGGAUUCAGGUACAGAAUCUGCAUGUGCAGGGGUCAUAGUGAAGUUGUCAAUGCGACUGACUAGUUACUACUAAUAGGUUUGCAAAUCUAGAUGUAAAUUUAUGUACGUACAGUGUCUGACUUGGAGGCGGUCUGAUGCCAGGUUGAGAUUCCCAGCGACGUCCUGAGCUGUGUUCUCAGCGACCUGGACCGAAACCAGCUUGUCAACUGCCUGGAUAUGCAUUGUGUAUAUGCUCUUGCUUGCUUCAUGGAAGCUGAAAGCAGCAAAAUCGACCGUCACCUUGGCGAUCUAAG